AACGAACGCUGGCGGCAUGCCUAACACAUGCGAGUCGAACGAGACCUUCGGGUCUAGUGGCGCACGGGUGCGUAACGCGUGGGAACCUGCCCUUAGGUUCGGAAUAACUCCCCGAAAGGGGUGCUAAUACCGGAUAAUGUCUUCGGACCAAAGAUUUAUCGCCUUUGGAUGGGCCCGCGUUGAAUUAGCUAGUUGGUAGGGUAAAAGCCUACCAAGGCGACGAUCCAUAGCUGGUCUGAGAGGAUGAUCAGCCACACUGGGACUGAGACACGGCCCAGACUCCUACGGGAGGCAGCAGUGGGGAAUAUUGGACAAUGGGCGAAAGCCUGAUCCAGCAAUGCCGCGUGAGUGAUGAAGGCCUUAGGGUUGUAAAGCUCUUUUACCCGGGAUGAUAAUGACAGUACCGGGAGAAUAAGCGCCGGCUAACUCCGUG
rnacentral:rRNA from 1 species